rnacentral:lncRNA from 1 species
UUCAUCACUUAGGUUAGUUUUCCAAAUUCAACAUGUACGUAUAUACAACUCAAAACAUCUCUGGGAUCUGGCCCAUAUAGGAAGCCCCUAAUCUGACGUCCAGACUAGUCUAGUUUUCUAACCUGAUCUCUCGAAAAAUAAAAGUGAGAAUCUAAAACAAAAGAAACACUAAACGGGAGUGCUGCCAAAAGAAGAUGCUGAUGUCGCUACCUAAUCGCUGUUAGAAGUCCACGAUCUCUGUAUCCAUCUCGGGAUCAUCAUCGGCCUCAGAAGUUAGAACCACAAUCUCAAUCUCCUCAACGUCCUCGUCGUCAGAAAUAACGAUGACCUCUGGUGUACUUUGGGGACUACUAUCACUGCUGUCGCCUGCGAAAACUAUACUACUAGGAGAAAUAUGCUCAACUGUUGAGGGCAGACCAAACACCGUGGCGAAAGUUCCGAUCGGCUCUAUGAUGAAAGGGUCAAAGGAGCAAGCAGAAUGCGACUCUAUCAACAUAUCCAAUCCCACUCGAGGAGAUUCAGGAAUGUAGUCAUCGACGACAAAGUCAGGCUCAGGCACUACCUGUCUAUCCUAAUGUGCUGGAACGGGACCUCCAUACAUGUGAUCAAAAGGAUGGUGAAUAGAAUUGGGAUGUAACCAUGACAGUGGAAAAUCAUACGGUGCAUCGG